rnacentral:rRNA from 1 species
GUAGGGAAUAUUGGGCAAUGGUCGGAAGACUGACCCAGCCAUGCCGCGUGCAGGAAGUCGGCCCUCUGGGUUGUAAACUGCUUUUAUCUGGGAAGAAAAAGGCCAUGCGUGGCAAAUUGCCGGUACCAGAUGAAUAAGCACCGGCUAACUCCGUGCCAGCAGCCGCGGUAAUACGGAGGGUGCGAGCGUUGUCCGGAUUUAUUGGGUUUAACGGGUGCGUAGGCGGCUGAUUAAGUCAGCGGUGAAAGACUUCGGCUUAACCGGAGCAGUGCCGUUGAUACUGGUUGGCUUGAGUGUCGGAGGGGUACAUGGAAUUGAUGGUGUAGCGGUGAAAUGCAUAGAUACCAUCAGGAACACCGAUAGCGAAGGCAUUGUACUGGCCGACAACUGACGCUGAUGCACGAAAGUGUGGGGAUCGAACAGGAUUAGAUACCCCAGUAGUCC